GGGAAGGUGGCUCAGUGGUAGAGUGCUUGCCUUAAAUGCAUACGGCCCUGGGUUC
rnacentral:tRNA from 1 species